AUUGUUGAGUAGCGUGUGCCCCCAGCAGAUCGCAACUACGGAACAGAGGUAGUAAAAUUUUGAAAAGGUUCCAUCAGUAGAAUGCAGGUGCCAUCUACUAAAGCCGUUGUGAUUUCCAGCAGGACAUUGUGAGUCAAGCGGUUCCCUAAUAUAAUUAAUAAAGGGUAUCCAC